rnacentral:misc_RNA from 1 species
AAGUCGUAACAAGGUCUCCGUAGGUGAACCUGCGGAGGGAUCAUUACUGAGUUCGAAGGUGUCUGGGUGCGGGCCUUGGCCCGCACCGGGCACCCGACCUCCAACCCUUUGUGAACACAACUUGUUGCUUCGGGGGCGACCCUGCCGUUCGCGCGGCGAGCGCCCCCGGAGGCCCUCCAACACUGCAUCUCUGCGUCGGAGUUUAAGUAAAUUUAAACAAAACUUUCAACAACGGAUCUCUUGGUUCUG